GAUGAACGCUAGCUACAGGCUUAACACAUGCAAGUCGAGGGGCAGCAUGGUCUUAGCUUGCUAAGGCCGAUGGCGACCGGCGCACGGGUGAGUAACACGUAUCCAACCUGCCGUCUACUCUUGGACAGCCUUCUGAAAGGAAGAUUAAUACAAGAUGGCAUCAUGAGUCCGCAUGUUCACAUGAUUAAAGGUAUUCCGGUAGACGAUGGGGAUGCGUUCCAUUAGAUAGUAGGCGGGGUAACGGCCCACCUAGUCUUCGAUGGAUAGGGGUUCUGAGAGGAAGGUCCCCCACAUUGGAACUGAGACACGGUCCAAACACCUACGGGAGGCAGCAGUGAGGAAUAUUGGUCAAUGGGCGCAGGCCUGAACCAGCCAAGUAGCGUGAAGGAAGACUGCCCUAUGGGUUGUAAACUUCUUUUAUAAAGGAAUAAAGUCGGGUAUGUAUACCCGUUUGCAUGUACUUUAUGAAUAAGGAUCGGCUAACUCCGUG
rnacentral:rRNA from 1 species